UACAGAGGGUGCAAGCGUUGUUCGGAAUUACUGGGCGUAAAGCGCGUGUAGGCUGCGGAGUAAGUUGGACGUGAAAGCCCUUGGCUUAACCAAGGAAGUGCAUCCAAUACUGCAUCGCUUGAGUGUCGGAGGGGCGGCGGAAUUCCCGGUGUAGGGGUGAAAUUCGUAGAGUAUCGGGAGGAACACCUGUGGCGAAGGCGGCCGCCUGGACCGA
rnacentral:rRNA from 1 species